rnacentral:rRNA from 1 species
UACGUAGGGGGCAAGCGUUGUCCGGAUUUAUUGGGCGUAAAGAGCGUGUAGGCGGCCCCUUAAGUCCUGCGUGAAAUCCUGCGGCUCAACCGCAGACGGUCGUGGGAAACUGGAGGGCUAGAGUGCGGGAGAGGAGAGUGGAAUUCCCGGUGUAGCGGUGAAAUGCGCAGAUAUCGGGAAGAACACCCGUGGCGAAGGCGGCUCUCUGGAACGCAACUGACGCUGAGACGCGAAAGCGUGGGGAGCAAACAGG